rnacentral:rRNA from 1 species
GACGAACGCUGGCGGCGUGCUUAACACAUGCAAGUCGAACGAAGAGCGAUGGAAGCUUGCUUCUAUCAAUCUUAGUGGCGAACGGGUGAGUAACGCGUAAUCAACCUGCCCUUCAGAGGGGGACAACAGUUGGAAACGACUGCUAAUACCGCAUACGAUCCAAUCUCGGCAUCGGGACUGGAUGAAAGGUGGCCUCUAUUUAUAAGCUAUCACUGAAGGAGGGGAUUGCGUCUGAUUAGCUAGUUGGAGGGGUAACGGCCCACCAAGGCGAUGCUCAGUAGCCGGUCUGAGAGGAUGAACGGCCACAUUGGGACUGAGACACGGCCCAGACUCCUACGGGAGGCAGCAGUGGGGAAUCUUCCGCAAUGGACGAAAGGCUGACGGAGCAACGCCGCGUGAGGGAUGACGGCCUUCGGGUUGUAAAGCUCUGUUAAUCGGGACGAAUGGUUCUUGUGCGAAUAGUGCGAGGAUUUGACGGUACCGGAAUAGAAAGCCACGGCUAACUACGUG